rnacentral:rRNA from 1 species
CUAAGGUAGCAUAAUCACUUGUCACUUAAUUGGUGACUGGAAUGAAAGGUUAAACUAACUUAUUAAGUUUGUAGAGCUAAAUAUAAAUUUAAAGUUAAGGUAAGAAUUCUUUAAUAUUCUAGGGGACGAUAAGACCCUAGAAGCUUAACAAGUAGGUUGUUUUGUGCUAUAAAUUUGUUUGUUUUACUGGGGCGGUAAGAAUAAUUAAGCUAUUCGUUGUUUAAGAGAUCCUUAAAAUAAAGAAAAAAUGGAGAAGUUACUCUAGGGAUAA